rnacentral:rRNA from 1 species
GACGAACGCUGGCGGCGUGCCUAACACAUGCAAGUCGAGCGAACAGACCAGGAGCUUGCUCCUUUGACGUUAGCGGCGGACGGGAGCGUAACUUGUGUUUAACCUACCUAUCAGACUGGGAUAACUUCGGGAAACCGGAGCUAAUACCGGAUAAUAUUUCGAACCGCAUGGUUCGCUAGUGAAAGAUGGCAUUGCUAACACUAAUAGAUGGACCUGCGUCGUAUUACCUUGUUGGCAAGGGAACGGCUUACCAAGGCAACGAUGCGAAGCCGACCUGAGAGUGUCGUCAGACACACUGGCACUGAGGCUGAGCCCAGACUCUGACGCGAGGCAGCAGUAGCGAAUCUUACGACAUGAGGGAGUGCCGGACGGAGCAGCACGGCAGAAGUGAUGAAGGUGGACGGAUCGUAAAGCUGUGAUAUGAGGGAAGUACUAACGUGUGUGUAACUGGGCACGUCUUGACGGUACCGGGUCAGUAAGCCACGGCUAACUUCGUG